rnacentral:misc_RNA from 1 species
GUGAAUCAUCAAAUUUUUGAACGCAAAUUGCACUCCUUUCGGAGAGUAUGCCUGUUUGAGGGUCAGCCUAAAAAAAAAAUCGACAUAGUCGCUGUUUCGCGGUGACAUUCGUUGGGAAAUGGGUCAACUUAAGCCUUUGGGUGUUAAUCGUCUUAAAAUUUUUUUUACGAUUUCACGAACGCUUCAAUGAUUUACUUCUUACACGUUUAAGGUA